GUUAAAGUAGAGUGAAUAUUAAAUGAAGAGAAUCUUAACAUUCAAAAUGGGUAAUACACCUCUUCAAUUUAACAACACUUUGAAAGUGUCAAAUAUUAUUGUAAUUUCUUGAAAGGCCUAUGUGAUCAACACAUAAAUAAAGGUACCAGCUGCAAGAACCCACAAGAAGGAUAUUUUAAAUUCUGAUUUCAGCAAACAGAGGGACACCUUAAAGCAUGUGAGCAGAAGACAUCACUGAGGAAAGCAUGUUUAAAGUGGAAUGAUACAUUAACAUGGACAACAAAAUCCUGAAUAGUCAGUCCAGACUGAAAUGUGUAAUGAAAAUAGUUGGAUAUUAAAGAAUUCGACAGUGGGAAUUAUCAGCAAGGAGGAUCUGGUCCUUAUUAUUGAAGUAAGAUUUCCCUGACAUCAGUGCAUCCUUUUGAGUGUGUUACCAUAUCUCUUAAGAUUUCUGCUUCAGUCUUGACCUGGGGCUUUCUUUUUUAAUGUCGCUUUAAAAAAAAAUCUUGAGAUAAUUCUUGGCUUUGUCAAGGAUACCAGUAACAAAAGCAUC